GGCGGCGUGCCUAUACAUGCAGUCGAGCGAACUGAUUAGAAGCUUGCUUCUAUGACGUUAGCGGCGGACGGGUGAGUAACACGUGGGCAACCUGCCUGUAAGACUGGGAUAACUUCGGGAAACCGAAGCUAAUACCGGAUAGGAUCUUCUCCUUCAUGGGAGAUGAUUGAAAGAUGGUUUCGGCUAUCACUUACAGAUGGGCCCGCGGUGCAUUAGCUAGUUGGUGAGGUAACGGCUCACCAAGGCAACGAUGCAUAGCCGACCUGAGAGGGUGAUCGGCCACACUGGGACUGAGACACGGCCCAGACUCCUACGGGAGGCAGCAGUAGGGAAUCUUCCGCAAUGGACGAAAGUCUGACGGAGCAACGCCGCGUGAGUGAUGAAGGCUUUCGGGUCGUAAAACUCUGUUGUUAGGGAAGAACAAGUACGAGAGUAACUGCUCGUACCUUGACGGUACCUAACCAGAAAGCCACGGCUAACUACGUGCCAGCAGCCGCGGUAAUACGUAGGUGGCAAGCGUUAUCCGGAAUUAUUGGGCGUAAAGCGCGCGCAGGCGGUUUCUUAAGUCUGAUGUGAAAGCCCACGGCUCAACCGUGGAGGGUCAUUGGAAACUGGGGGAACUUGAGUGC
rnacentral:rRNA from 2 species